CAUAUACUCCCUCCGUCCCAUA
rnacentral:miRNA from 1 species